UACAGAGGGUGCAAGCGUUAUCCGGAUUCACUGGGUUUAAAGGGUGCGUAGGAGGGCAGGUAAGUCAGUGGUGAAAUCUCCAAGCUUAACUUGGAAACUGCCGUUGAUACUAUCUGUCUUGAAUACCGUGGAGGUGAGCGGAAUAUGUCAUGUAGCGGUGAAAUGCUUAGAUAUGACAUAGAACACCAAUUGCGAAGGCAGCUCGCUACACGAAUAUUGACUCUGAGGCACGAAAGCGUGGGGAUCAAACAGG
rnacentral:rRNA from 1 species